rnacentral:rRNA from 1 species
AACGAACGCUGGCGGCAUGCCUAACACAUGCAAGUCGAACGAGACCUUCGGGUCUAGUCGCGCACGGGUGCGUAACGCGUGGGAAUCUGCCCUUGGGUUCGGAAUAACAGUUGGAAACGACUGCUAAUACCGGAUGAUGACGUAAGUCCAAAGAUUUAUCGCCCAAGGAUGAGCCCGCGUAGGAUUAGCUAGUUGGUGGGGUAAAGGCUCACCAAGGCGACGAUCCUUAGCUGGUCUGAGAGGAUGAUCAGCCACACUGGGACUGAGACACGGCCCAGACUCCUACGGGAGGCAGCAGUGGGGAAUAUUGGACAAUGGGCGAAAGCCUGAUCCAGCAAUGCCGCGUGAGUGAUGAAGGCCUUAGGGUUGUAAAGCUCUUUUACCCGGGAUGAUAAUGACAGUACCGGGAGAAUAAGCUCCGGCUAACUCCGUG